rnacentral:rRNA from 1 species
GACGAACGCUGGCGGCGUGCUUAACACAUGCAAGUCGAACGGAAAGGCCCUGCUUUUGUGGGGUGCUCGAUUGGCGAACGGGUGAGUAACACGUGAGUAACCUGCCCUUGACUUUGGGAUAACUUCAGGAAACUGGGGCUAAUACCGGAUAGGAGCUCCUGCUGCAUGGUGGGGGUUGGAAAGUUUCGGCGGUUGGGGAUGGACUCGCGGCUUAUCAGCUUGUUGGUGGGGUAGUGGCUUACCAAGGCUUGGACGGGUAGCCGGCCUGUGAGGGUGACCGGCCACAUUGGGACUACGAUACGGCCCAGACUCCUACGGGAGGCAGCAGUGGGGAAUAUUGCACAAUGGGCGGAAGCCUGAUGCAGAAACGCCGCGUGCGGGAUGACGGCCUUCGGGUUGUAAACCGCUUUCGCCUGUGACGAAGCGUGAGUGACGGUAAUGGGUAAAGAAGCACCGGCUAACUACGUG